UACAGAGGGGGCAAGCGUUAUUCGGAAUUAUUGGGCGUAAAGGGCGCGUAGGCGGCUUGGCAAGUGGAAGGUGAAAUCCCUCGGCUCAACCGAGGAACUGCCCUCCAAACUGCUUGGCUUGAGACCGGGAGAGGUGAGUGGAAUUCCCAGUGUAGCGGUGAAAUGCGUAGAUAUUGGGAGGAACACCAGUGGCGAAGGCGGCUCACUGGACCGGUACUGACGCUGAGGCGCGAAAGCGUGGGGAGCAAACAGG
rnacentral:rRNA from 1 species